AGCCCAGGGGUGUGAUCACACUAAAGUGCAAAUUUAGAGAAGCGCCGGCGGCGCCUCGGCUU
rnacentral:tRNA from 1 species